CAAAGUGCUGUUCGUGCAGGUAGUGUGUGCAGCCAUCUACUGCCGGGCAGCACUUCCCGA
rnacentral:pre_miRNA from 1 species